GACGAACGCUGGCGGCGUGCUUAACACAUGCAAGUCGAACGGAAAGGCCCUGCUUUUGUGGGGUGCUCGGGUGGCGAACGGGUGAGUAACACGUGAGUAACCUGCCCUUGACUUUGGGAUAACUUCAGGAAACUGGGGCUAAUACCGGAUAGGAUCUCCUGCUGCAUGGUGGGGGUUGGAAAUUUUCGGCGGUUGGGGAUGGACUCGCGGCUUAUCAGCUUGUUGGUUGGGUAGUGGCUUACCAAGGCUGUGACGGGUAGCCGGCCUGAGAGGGUGACCGGCCACAUGGGGACUACGAGACGGCGCAGACGCCUACGGGAGGCAGCAGGGGGGAAUAUGGCACAAUGGGAGGAAGCCUGAUGCAGCAACGCCGCGUGCGGGAUGACGGCCUUCGGGUUGUAAACCGCUUCCGCCUGUGACGAAGCGUGAGUGACGGUAAUGGGUAAAGAAGCACCGGCUAACUACGUG
rnacentral:rRNA from 1 species